UACGGAGGGAGCUAGCGUUGUUCGGAAUUACUGGGCGUAAAGCGCGCGUAGGCGGCUUUGUAAGUUAGAGGUGAAAGCCCGGGGCUCAACCCCGGAAUUGCCUUUAAGACUGCAUCGCUUGAAUCCGGGAGAGGUGAGUGGAAUUCCGAGUGUAGAGGUGAAAUUCGUAGAUAUUCGGAAGAACACCAGUGGCGAAGGCGGCUCACUGGCCCGGUACUGACGCUGAGGCGCGAAAGCGUGGGGAGCAAACAGG
rnacentral:rRNA from 1 species